AAAAAUCCGUCAGAAUACCCCUUCCUCCAAAAGAUUGCAGGGUCUUCAAGGGGGCUAUAAGUCUGGAAAAAGUUGAAGGGGCCAAAGCAGGGAGCUAAAAGCGCGCGGCUCCUUUAAAAGGCUGCCUCUGCAGGCUCAGCUCCCUCCUCCAGCCACCCUCCUUGUCGGGGCUCCCUCUGUGAUUGACACAGAAAGAGAGGAGGCGCCUGGUGCUAACAAAAGUCUGAGCCACUGGAGAGCAGCGUAGGGCCGUGGGUCUCCUUCUCAGGGAACCAGCAACAAGUGGCUUGUAGCGGCACUUUCCCUUAGGAAGAAGUGCAUCGAGAGCGCUGGGACCGAAGGAGCGAGGCAGUUCUUCCUCUUCGCCCUCAGAAGCCUGAAGGGGAUGUCCUUGCCUGCCUAGCCCUGGGAUGCUGGAAGCUGCAUCUACAGAUUCCUCUAGUACCGCUGCCUGACCCUGAGUGUGGAUUAUUAAGUGGAGCUGCGACCCCUCGGGUUAUCUUUCUUGCAAAAAAAUAGAAAGGAGAAAAAGAAAGAAAAGAAAAGAAAAAAGCAAGGAGUGGAAAAGAGCAAGUCCAUCUGGAGAACCUACGGAGGGGGGGCAUUGCCCUCCCAGAGAUGGUCCUUGUUUAGGGGUUCUGAAGUAUGUCAAAGUAAUCGUUCGGGAUAGGAGGGUUCACUUGCCCGCUUUCGUCGCCCCCUGGUUGCCUAAGAACCGCGUCUUGGCUGGUUAGACAUGGUGUGUACUGGGAGAAGGAGAGUAUGAAGCCUGCAGGAUGGGAGCGAACAAUGGCAAACAGUACGGCAGUGAGGGCAAAGGCAGCUCAAGCAUCUCAUCCGACGUGAGUUCAAGUACAGAUCACACGCCGACCAAAGCUCAAAAGAAUGCAGCUACCAGUGAAGGUAGGCAUCUGGUCUUCAUUAUCUUUGGCCUUCUUUUCACAAUAUUGGCUAUUUUUGGAAGAGAGAUAAAAUGCGUGGGGUUUAGGCCUGUUCUACUGAGUGGGAGCUCAUGAGAUUCUUGAAAAAGGAAAAAGCUAAAGGUCUUCCAAGUGCCUUAUUUCUUUCCUUCUUUCUUUUUUGGACUGCUGUUGCUGUGUGUAAAAGUUGAUUUGAUGGGAUUUAAAUCUCUCAUUUCCAAGGCUAAUGUUGGAGUUUCAUGAAAAUAUAAUGGGCUGAUUUAUAAGAAGAUCAUAUUGC
rnacentral:lncRNA from 1 species